UGACACGUAGGCACCAAGCGUUGUCCGGAUUUAUUGGGCGUAAAGAGCUCGUAGGCGGUUCAGUAAGUCGGGUGUGAAAACUUUGGGCUUAACCCAAAGCGUGCAUCCGAUACUGCUGUGACUUGAGUACGGUAGGGGAGCGGGGAAUUCCUAGUGUAGCGGUGAAAUGCGCAGAUAUUAGGAGGAACACCGGUGGCGAAGGCGCCGCUCUGGGCCGAAACUGACGCUGAGGAGCGAAAGCAUGGGUAGCAAACAGGAUUAGAUACCCUGGUAGUCCAUGCCGUAAACGUUGGGCACUAGGUGUGGGUUCCAACCAACGGAAUCCGCGCCGUCGCUAACGCAUUAAGUGCCCCGCCUGGGGAGUACGGCCGCAAGGUUA
rnacentral:rRNA from 1 species